UACAGAGGGUGCAAGCGUUGCUCGGAAUCAUUGGGCGUAAAGGGCAAGUAGGUGGUCUCAUUUGUCUAGGGUGAAAUCCUUGAGCUUAACUCAAGAAGUGCCCUAGAAACGGUGGGACUAGAGUUCUGGAGAGGGUCGUGGAAUUCCCGGUGUAGCGGUGAAAUGCGUAGAGAUCGGGAGGAACACCAGAGGCGAAGGCGGCGACCUGGACAGAUACUGACGCUGAGGCACGAAAGCGUGGGGAGCAAACAGG
rnacentral:rRNA from 1 species